GUGCUCGACGACGAAGAGGUCAUCGGGUAUAUGCUCGCUGGACUCGACCUCAGUAUGAAUCCCUUGUAUCCUCUAUAACCACACGUGCAGAGCCUGUCACGCUCAAUGAUUUUUACUCGUACUUGUUGAGC
rnacentral:snoRNA from 1 species